AUUGAACGCUGGCGGAAUGCUUUACACAUGCAAGUCGAGCGGCAGCGCGGGGGCAACCCUGGCGGCGAGCGGCGAACGGGUGAGUAACACAUCGGAACGUACCUUUGAGUGGGGGAUAACUAUCCGAAAGGAUAGCUAAUACCGCAUACGCCCUACGGGGGAAAGCAGGGGAUCUUCGGACCUUGCGCUAAUAGAUGAGCCUAAGUCGGAUUAGCUAGUUGGUGGGGUAAAGGCCUACCAAGGCGACGAUCUGUAGCGGGUCUGAGAGGAUGAUCCGCCACACUGGGACUGAGACACGGCCCAGACUCCAACGGGAGGCAGCAGUGGGGAAUAUUGGACAAUGGGCGGAAGCCUGAUCCAGCCAUGCCGCGUGUGUGAAGAAGGCCUUUUGGUUGUAAAGCACUUUAAGCGAGGAGGAGGCUACCUGGAUUAAUACUCUAGGAUAGUGGACGUUACUCGCAGAAUAAGCACCGGCUAACUCUGUGCCAGCAGCCGCCGUAAUAC
rnacentral:rRNA from 1 species